CCGAACCGACUAAUGUUGAAAAAUUAGCGGAUGACUUGUGGCUGGGGGUGAAAGGCCAAUCAAACCGGGAGAUAGCUGGUUCUCCCCGAAAGCUAUUUAGGUAGCGCCUCGUGAACUCAUCUUCGGGGGUAGAGCACUGUUUCGGCUAGGGGGUCAUCCCGACUUACCAACCCGAUGCAAACUGCGAAUACCGAAGAAUGUUAUCACGGGAGACACACGGCGGGUGCUAACGUCCGUCGUGAAGAGGGAAACAACCCAGACCGCCAGCUAAGGUCCCAAAGUCAUGGUUAAGUGGGAAACGAUGUGGGAAGGCUCAGACAGCCAGGAUGUUGGCUUAGAAGCAGCCAUCAUUUAAAGAAAGCGUAAUAGCUCACUGGUCGAGUCGGCCUGCGCGGAAGAUGUAACGGGGCUAAACCAUGCACCGAAGCUGCGGCAGCGACACUAUGUGUUGUUGGGUAGGGGAGCGUUCUGUAAGCCUGUGAAGGUGUGCUGUGAGGCAUGCUGGAGGUAUCAGAAGUGCGAAUGCUGACAUAAGUAACGAUAAAGCGGGUGAAAAGCCCGCUCGCCGGAAGACCAAGGGUUCCUGUCCAACGUUAAUCGGGGCAGGGUGAGUCGACCCCUAAGGCGAGGCCGAAAGGCGUAGUCGAUGGGAAACAGGUUAAUAUUCCUGUACUUGGUGUUACUGCGAAGGGGGGACGGAGAAGGCUAUGUUGGCCGGGCGACGGUUGUCCCGGUUUAAGCGUGUAGGUGUGUGUUCCAGGUAAAUCCGGUUCACUUUAACACUGAGGCGUGAUGA
rnacentral:rRNA from 1 species